CUAAGGAUGAUCCUUCAGUUCAGCUCACGCUGACUAUCGGAUCUUUUUAGAAGCAUCAGGGGCCAAUCGAUCGCCAGAUCAUUGAGCUCCAUUGGCGGGAUUUCGCCGUCUUCGUUUCUCUUUCUUCGCGGACGAACACGCGCCAGGGGCUACAGCGCUGCGCGAUGCAUCGGCGCGAGCCGGUUGCGCGCGAGCAUGCCUCUGAUCCUCAACUGAGGACAGCGUUAGGGGCUUGUAGCUCAGUUGGUUAGAGCGCGCGCUUGAUAAGCGUGAGGUCGGAAGUUCAAGUCUUCCCAGGCCCACCACUUUGAUCGAGUGCGAGGCAUUCGUCUUCUGGUUACGGGGCCAUAGCUCAGCUGGGAGAGCGCGUGCUUUGCAAGCAUGAGGUCGUCGGUUCGAUCCCGUCUGGCUCCACCAGAUGAAAUCGAAGAUCGAGAGUGCCUCGAAUAAUCGUCCGCGAAACAUCAAUUCGCAUGCGUGAUCCUCACCAGGAUGCGUCAUGCGUGUUUUCUGACAUCGUAAAGAGGAGAUCGAUCCGAGUUUGGAUCAAGCGAAGUAAUUCGCCUGACCCAAUCACUAUCUCCGGGAUCAUUUCGGCGCUCGCUUCAGUCGUGAGAUUGAAUGCGGGUUGUAAAUGGUCCUUGUUAGCGAAGCCUGACCGCCUCGCUAUCGGUUCGAUCUUACGAAGCAAGCUGGUCUUUCUAGUCAAUGUCCGGCUGCGACAAUCGCAUUCGUCGAGGGUGCGCGCCUUGAGUGGCAGUUGCGCAGACAACAUUCUGCCGAGUGUGUGGACAUUGAUAAUGAGAGC
rnacentral:tRNA from 1 species